CCUACGUGUGUCAGCAGUGAGGAAUAUUGGUCAAUGGGCGCGAGCCUGCACCAGCCAAGUAGCGUGAAGGAUGACUGCCCUACGGGUUGUAAACUUCUUUUAUAAAGGAAUAAAGUGAGGCACGUGUGCCUUUUUUUAUGUCCUUUAUGAAUAAGGAUCGGCUAACUCCGUGCCAGCAGCCGCGGUAAUACGGAGGAUCCGAGCGUUAGCCGGAUUGAUUGGGUUUAAAGGGAGCGUAGAUGGGUUGUUAAGUCAGUUGUGAAAGUUUGCGGCUCAACCGUAAAAUUGCAAUUGAUACUGGCAGCCUUGAGUACAGUUGAGGUAGGCGGAAUUCGUGGUGUAGCGGUGAAAUGCUUAGAUAUCACGAAGAACUCCGAUUGCGAAGGCAGCUUACUAAACUGCCACUGACAUUGAUGCUCGAAAGUGUGGGUAUCAAACAGGAUUAGAUACCCGGGUAGUC
rnacentral:rRNA from 1 species